GUUUGAACAUAAUUCACAACUGAAUUCACAAAGCAGUAACAGGUAACUGCGCAGCAGACUUUCAGAUCAGUUCAUUACAUUUUUCAGUCGAAAGUGCAUUACAGGAGCCCAGAGAUGAUCAAAAAUUGAGAGCAGAAGAAAUUUGAGGCUGACCAGGAUCCUGAAGUGAAGAGCAGUCCCUUUCCCAUUUAACAGCAUUCAUGAGCAGAAAAUGGGGAAGCAGAAAUGCUGAGACAGUUCAGAAGAAACAUCACCAGAAGCCACAGCAACAGCAAAGGAAGCUUAUAUGGAAGUAUUUUUGAUUUUCUCCCUUCUUUCCCCUACCCCCUGGCCCCUGCUGACUCUAACAUAACUAA